rnacentral:rRNA from 1 species
CGUAGGUGGCAAGCGUUGUCCGGAUUUAUGGGUUUAAAGGGUGCGUAGGCGGUUCCAUAAGUCAGUGGUGAAAUACGGCAGCUCAACUGUCGAGGUGCCAUUGAUACUGCGGAACUUGAGUACUGAUGAGGUAGGCGGAAUUGACGGUGUAGCGGUGAAAUGCUUAGAUAUCGUCAAGAACACCGAUAGCGAAGGCAGCUUACCAAGCAGUAACUGACGCUGAGGCACGAAAGUGCGGGGAUCAAACAGGAUUAGAUACCCUGGUAGUCCGCACAGUAAACGAUGAUUACUCGAUGUUGGCGAUACACAGCCAGCGUCUUAGCGAAAGCGAUAAGUAAUCCACCUGGGGAGUACGCCCGCAAGGGUG